GUGCCAGCCGCUGCGGUAAUACGUAGGGUGCGAGCGUUGUCCGGAAUUAUUGGGCGUAAAGAGCUCGUAGGCGGCUUGUCGCGUCGGAUGUGAAAGCCCGGGGCUUAACCCCGGGUCUGCAUUCGAUACGGGCAGGCUGGAGUUCGGCAGGGGAGAUCGGAAUUCCUGGUGUAGCGGUGAAAUGCGCAGAUAUCAGGAGGAACACCGGUGGCGAAGGCGGAUCUCUGGGCCGAUACUGACGCUGAGGAGCGAAAGCGUGGGAGCGAACAGGAUUAGAUACCCUGGUAGUCCACGCCGUAAACGUUGGGCACGUAGGUGUGGCCGCAUUCCACGUGGUCCGUGCCGCAGCUAACGCAUUAA
rnacentral:rRNA from 1 species